rnacentral:misc_RNA from 1 species
AAGAAAUGAUGUGGGCAAGUGUAACGCGAAAAGUUCUCACUGGCAGCUGUUCUGCUUCUUUGAUCAGUAGUUUUAGAACAAUCAUUGCUAGGUACUCAAUCUAAUUUGGUACCAUCAUCACGAUCUUACUUUAUCGCCUUGAAGGAGAUACUGCCACUUGAAAGAAGAUCAAACAGCUCACAAAAUGUUGAUUCCCAUGGUUAUCUAAGAUUUCCAUGGUUUCUUUGAAUUUCAUGUGUUUACAGGAUUUCCAAUUGGUUCAAGUCCUGUAAGGGCAUUUUCUUCAGAUAGGCUUAAAAUAUCUGUUUCGCUUUCAAAAUCUUCAGCAACAGAAUGUCAAGUGCCUUCUAAUGAAGGGGAAAGAAGAGUAAAAAGGCAUGUUGCAACAAGACUUCCUUUCAUCGAUGCAUUCUUGUUGAAGCUGAAGAAGGAAAAAGAUCUACUUGCUAACAAGAAA